GACGAACGCUGGCGGCGUGCUUAACACAUGCAAGUCGAACGGAAAGGCCCUCACCUUGGUGGGGGUGCUCGAGUGGCGAACGGGUGAGUAACACGUGGGUGAUCUGCCCUGUACUUCGGGAUAAGCUUGGGAAACUGGGUCUAAUACCGGAUAGGACCAUGGUUUAGUGUCUCAUGGUGGAAAAAUAUUGUUUUGGUGCAGGAUGAGCUCGCGGCCUAUCAGCUUGUUGGUGGGGUAAUGGCCUACCAAGGCGUCGACGGGUAGCCGGCCUGAGAGGGUGGACGGCCACAUUGGGACUGAGAUACGGCCCAGACUCCUACGGGAGGCAGCAGUGGGGAAUAUUGCACAAUGGGCGCAAGCCUGAUGCAGCGACGCCGCGUGGGGGAUGACGGCCUUCGGGUUGUAAACUCCUUUCGUUAGGGACGAAGCCACACCUUUUUUGGGUGUGGUGACGGUACCUUUGUUAAGAAGCACCGGCUAACUACGUG
rnacentral:rRNA from 1 species